rnacentral:ncRNA from 1 species
GUGUUGUAUGAAAGGAGAGAAGGUUAGCACUCCCCUUGACAAGGAUGGAAGAGGCACAUAAGGUUAAGGCACUGCCACCUACUCGUGGCAUCUAACCACUGUUUUUU